UACGGAGGGGGCUAGCGUUGUUCGGAAUUACUGGGCGUAAAGCGCGCGUAGGCGGCCCUGCAAGUCGGGGGUGAAAGCCCGAGGCUCAACCUCGGAACUGCCUUCGAUACUGCGGGUCUCGAGUCCGGGAGAGGUGAGUGGAAUUCCUAGUGUAGAGGUGAAAUUCGUAGAUAUUAGGAAGAACACCAGUGGCGAAGGCGACUUACUGGACUGUAACUGACGCUGAGGCAUGAAAGCGUGGGGAGCAAACAGG
rnacentral:rRNA from 1 species